AACGAACGCUGGCGGCAGGCCUAACACAUGCAAGUCGAGCGCCCUUUCGGUGUAGCUGCGGACUUGUGAGUAACGCGUGGGAAUAUGCUCUUCUCUACGUCAUAUCCUCGUGUUUCUGAGAGUAUUACCGUAUACGCCCUGUGGUGGUAAGUUUUAUCUGGGAAGGAUUAGCCCGAGUUGGAUUCGGUCGUUGGUGGGGUAAUGGCCUACCAUUCCGACGAUCCAUAGCUGGUUUGAGAGGAUGAUCAGCCACAUUGGGACUGAGACACGGCCCAAACUCCUACGGGAGGCAGCAGUGGGGAAUCUUGCGCAAUGGGCGAAAGCCUGACGCAGCCAUGCCGCGUGAAUGAUGAAGGUCUUAGGAUUGUAAAAUUCUUUCACCGGGGACGAUAAUGACGGUACCCGGAGAAGAAGCCCCGGCUAACUUCGUG
rnacentral:rRNA from 1 species